rnacentral:rRNA from 1 species
GCGGCACGCCUAACACAUGCAAGUCGAACGAAGUAGCAAUACUUAGUGGCAGACGGGUGAGUAACAUGUAGGUAUCUGCCCUUUGGCCUGGAAUAACACGAGGAAACUUGUGCUAAUACCGGAUAAGUCUUUACGGAGAAAGCUUUAUGCACCAUUGGAUGAGCCUGCACUUGAUUAGUUUGUUGGUGGGGUAAUGGCCUACCAAGACUGUGAUCAAUAGCUGAUUUGAGAGGAUGAUCAGCCACAUUGGGACUGAGACACGGCCCAAACUCCUACGGGAGGCAGCAGUGGGGAAUCUUGCACAAUGGAGGAAACUCUGAUGCAGCGAUGCCGCGUGAGUGAAGAAGGCCCUUGGGUUGUAAAGCUCUUUCGUCGGGGAAGAAAAUGACUGUACCCGAAUAAGAAGGUCCGGCUAACUUCGU